GAUGAACGCUAGCGGCAGGCCUAACACAUGCCAGUCGAGGGAGAAGCCCUUUCGGGGGCAGAAACCGGCGCACGGGUGCGUAACGCGUAUGCAACCUACCUUUCACAGGGGGAUAGCCCGAAGAAAUUUGGAUUAAUACCCCAUAAUAUUAUUGGAUGGCAUCAUUUGAUAAUUAAAACUGCGGUGGUGAAAGAUGGGCAUGCGUCCUAUUAGCUAGUUGGAGUGGUAACGGCACCCCAAGGCUACGAUAGGUAGGGGUCCUGAGAGGGAGAUCCCCCACACUGGUACUGAGACAGAGACCAGACUCCUACGGAAGGCAGCAGUGAGGAAUAUUAGUCAAUGGUCGGAAGACUGAACCAGCCAUGCCGCGUGCAGGAAGAAUGCCUUAUGGGUUGUAAACUGCUUUUAUAUGGGAAGAAUAAGGUGUACGUGUACAUUGAUGACGGUACCAUAUGAAUAAGCAUCGGCUAACUCCGUG
rnacentral:rRNA from 1 species